CAAGUACACAGAGUUGUAUUUCUGCUAGAGCUGCCAGACUGAAUAUUUUGCAGUCAGAGCUGUAAACCUCACAGGCUAUUUCUUUGUUUAGCUUUCUACUUUGUAUUCUUUUUCUCCCCUCUUUCUUUCUGGAUUUCUUUUUUUUAAUAUAUAUGUGAAACUCUUUCAAAUGCUGGAUUUUCACCUCUUUUUUCAGGAAGUGUUCAUGAAUUGACAUGGGUCGACAUACUUCUCAAUACCAGGCAAAAAGGAGAAGCCACAACACUUAACUCUGGAUCUGCAGUCUAAGAGGAUUUCUGAGUUCAGUGAAGGGUGCCUGAGAACAGAGUCUGAAGGAGAUAGUGCUACAUCUGUGUAUGUGUGGGAUUUCUUUUCAAGUAUUUUCACUCUGUUUAUGGAAUGAAUCUGUACAAGCAAACCUUCAAAGGGCAUUUGAAAAUAAGUGUUUCUUCAGAAACUAGUGUCACCAGGAAAAAAAAAAUCCAGUUAUCUGUUGAAAAUAAUUUGUUCUCAAAAGGGUUCUUUGUAUUUGUUUGGCAUUUUCAUUUCGAUGUGAAUGUGUAUAACUGUGUGUUUUUUGUGACAAUUUUAUUCCUUUAAUAGAAGGAAAAACUCCAGUUUCUAACUUGAAACUGUAUAUGUGAGAAAUUAGGA
ensembl:lncRNA